UGUUGAUGGCUGGACAUUGCAUCAUCCUAGAAAACAUGGAGGCCAGUGAGGACAAAAAUAAAAAGUUAUAAGACUUUUAAAUAUGUGGAUUUUAGGGUUAUCUUUGGCGCCCCCUAGAACCUAAACCGUGGGGUGCAGCGUCAUGAUUUGAAUAACUUUUAAUGGCCAUGGGGUGUAGAUUGGCCUGAGCAAAUGUGGUGCCGGUGGAACGAAAGCCUUCGGAGGAUUUAGCGAAAUUCCAAUGUGUGCGAAUCUGCCAAAAAUGCGAAAUAACCCUUUAACCGUACAUUUUACAGAUACGUGGCCAUUGGCUUUUUCGAAGAUCUUAUUGAAAUACACGUGUAUGUAAAAUUUUGUGUCAAUACGACAAAACAUACAGGCGUAGCACUCAACAAUGUGUAUUUUCACCUUAGUGGACAAGAAAAAAUGGACUUUUUUCUCCUGCCAUGGGGGGGCGCUCUUUUGGCGAGUAAAAAUUCCUUCACAAAUGUGUUGAUGGCUGGACAUUGCAUCAUCCUAGAAAACUUGGAGGCCAGUGGGGACAAAAAUAAAAAGUUAUAAGACUUUUAAAUAUGUGGAUUUUACGGUUAUCUUUGGCGCCCCCUAGAACCUAAACCGUGGGGUGCAGCGUCAUGAUUUGAAUAACUUUUAAUGGCCAUGGGGUGUAGAUUGGCCUGAGCAAAUGUGGUGCCAGUGGAACGAAAGCCUUCGGAGGAGUUAGCGAAAUUCCAAUGUGUGCGGAUCGGCAAAAAAUGCGGAAUAACCCUUUAACCGUACAUUUGACAGAUACGCGCGCAUUGACUUUUUCGUAGAUCUUAUUGAGAUACAUGUGUGUGUCAAUUUUUGUGUCAUUUUGCCAAAGCGUACAGGUGUUACACUCAACAAUGUGUAUUUUCACCUUAGGGGACAAGAAAAAAUGGACUUUUUUCUCCUGCCAUGGGGGGGCGCUCUUUUGGGGAGUAAAAAUUCCUUCACAAAUGUGUUGAUGGCUGGACAUUGCAUCAUCCUAGAAAACUUGGAGGCCAGUGAGGGCAAAAAUAAAAAGUUAUAAGACUUUUAAAUAUGUGGAUCUUAGGGUUAUCUUUGGCGCCCCCUAGAACCUAAACCGUGGGGUGCAGCAUCAUGAUUUGAAUAACUUUUAAUGGCCAUGGGGUGUAGAUUGGCCUGAGCAAAUGUGGUGCCGGUGGAACGAAAGCCUUCGGAGGAGUUAGCGAAAUUGCAAUGUGUGCGGAUCGGCAAAAAAUGCGAAAUAACCCUUUAACCGUACAUUUGACAGAUACGCCCGCACUGACUUUUUUGUAGAUCUUAUUGAGAUACAUGUGUGUGUCAAUUUUUGUGUCAUUUUGACAAAACAUACAGGCGUGACAGUCAAUAGUGUGAAUUUUCACCUUAGGGGGCGCUAUGGAGCCAUUUUGCAUUUUCUUGUUUGGGCGACUUCGGAAUAUCAAAUUUUUCACCAGGCCCGGUCGUCCUGCCAAAUUUCAUGAGUUUUCGCCAGUGGGAAGUGGGCCAUUUUCCAGUUCAAAGGGGAGGAAAAAUAAUAAUAAUAAUAAUAACAAAAGAAGGAAACAUGCAGGAACAAGAGGGCUCUCGCAGCUGCUUAGCAGCUACGCUCGGGCCCUAAAAACUAGGGCCCCGUUGGGGCACUGGCGGGCCCGAGCCGCGUCGCCCCCCCCCCCCCCCCCGUCCCCAACGCGCUGCCUCCCCGUCCCAUUCGUGUCCUCUGGCCAUCGCCCUCUCUGGUAACGCCCAUCACUGCAAAGACCCUUUUUCUUCAUCGGCGUUUGCUGUUCUUCCUGCCAGUGCGUGUUGCUUUCACUUACACUUGCCACAGCCAGCCUCGUGAGUGCCUAGCCUAUUGGAUAUCACUGUCACCUACACAGGACAGUCAUACUUUGUUUUUUAAUUUCACAUUAAUUUCCAUAUUGUAUAAACAACUGGAAAAAACUUGAGCCCCUGCCCAUGUAUUAUCAUGUGCACGUCCCUGUUCUAGCUCCAAGGUGAAUCUUCACUGCUCAUGUUCUCCUCAGAAGCAGUCACCUCACUCCCCUCAGGUUACUGUACACAUGCACCAACUGCCUGCUUCAGGUUUGGAUGGAGCUUCAUGGUUGUCUUUUGGAGAAAUGAGCAGUCAAGUUGUGUUUGAAAUUUGAUUUUUUUCAGGGGCAAAAGGAAGCCUCUGCAUUCUUGUCAAAUAUGUAAAUAGCAUGUUUUUGCAGGUGCUAAAAAACAGACUCUGAGUGUGUGUGUGUGUGUGUGUGUGUGUGUGUGUGUGUGUGUGUGUCUGUGUGUGUGUGUGUGCGUGUGUGUGUCUGUGUGUGUGUGUGUGUGUAUCCUGCAGUACUCUGAGAAGAAUAAUAAGCAUAUUUCUGAGGUGAAUUUUGAAGAUUCAUCUGAGAGUUAGGUUUGAUUCGAUUCGAUUGACGCUCCCCAGCGUUCAAGUCACAUGACAUAUUUAACCGGAUGUAGCUGCAAUACGGAGCCUCGUUAACUCUCCGUUUCAAUUUAUCUCAAAAGUGAGGACCUCAACCUAUAUACCAGUUUUUAAAUUGUGUUGAUAGGCCAAAUAAAACCAGAGUUAUGAUAAAUUAUGUCCGCGAUACUUUUUUUCUGCUUAUUUUGAUCACGUUCGGCGCUCGAUCGCGCUGUAUGAGACAGGAAAACAUAGCAUGCACACAUUAGCGACAGGUCUUACAGGCGGAAAAGGCUUGCCAAAAGAAAAAAAAAACACACCACAACAUCUCUCCUAUUGGUGGAAAACUUCACCACAACAACCAAUCCAAAAUUAUAUGGUGACUGAUUGACAAGGGGCGGGCGCUUACGUUCUUCCUGCAACAUGAGAAGGGAGGGAGGGACUCUCAGCAGGGAUGCAGUCUGGGACACGUAGUUGCAAACCUAGCGACUUUGUUGUUAGAUUCAAUUACUUUUCAGACCCCCUAACGACUUUUUUGAAAGAAAGGGACUUUUAUCGACUUCUUCUGGAGUUUAGAGACUCUGACAUGAAGCAGGCUUUCCUUACUGAGGAGUUAGCAACGCUGCUAAGGGUGCAGAGCCACACAUGCGCUCCGAGCUCUGCAUGGGAGACUGAAGCUGACAGAGCUGCAGCAGUUAGCAGGUUUCACCCUCAGAGACCACCAGGGGUUCAUGUUGAGGCAUUUUCAGUUUUUGUUUUUUUUGCCAUAGACUGUCAGCACAAUCUGCAGUUACACUAACAAAAAUGCUGCAAAAAACAAAGAAUUAUGGAAAAAUUACACAUGGACUGACAUAGAGGAGGAUCUACACAAGUUUUUUACAUCAUGUUUUACAUCAUGCAUCAUUUACAUCAUGUUUUUUUGUAGUGGCAUAAAUAAAAAGUGACAUUUGUGAGACUAUACAGUGUUUUGUAAAUAAUUUUACAAAGAACGCCUGGGCCAUUGCCUGCAUUUUGAUGUAAAUAGAGGUAAAUUACUAUGUUCUUUGUUAAAAAUUUGCAUAUGUUUUGAAGUUUACAAUUUUUAUUUGAAGUUUAAGUUUUAAAAACAGUUCAUCACACAUAUUUGUGGUUUAAUUUCACAUUAAUUUCCAUAUUGUAUAAAUGACUGGAAAAAACUUGAGCCCCUGCCCCUGUAUAAUCAUGUGCACGUCCC